GGUCGAUCUCCUCUAUAUACA
rnacentral:siRNA from 1 species